AGUGAAACCCAGUCUCUGCUAAAAAUACAAAAUUAGCCGGGCGUGCCAUCUCAAACAAAAACAAAGAAACAGAAACUAUCAGUUUCACUUGAAAACAUGCUCCGCAUCAGUCCUCAGGGAAAUGCAAAUCAAAGCCAUGGUGAGAUACCACUUCACACCCAGUAGGAUGGCUAGAAUUAAAAAAACCAAAACAACAAACAAUCACAAGGGCUCACGGGGAGGUAGAGACACGGGGAUCCUCAUGCGUCGCUGCUGGGAACAUCAUGUGGUACAGCUGCUCUGGAAACAGCCUGGCAGUUCCUGAAGUGGUUACAUACAGUGUUUCCAUAUGACCCUGUGAGUUGACUCCUAGACGUACACCUAAGGGAAGUGAAAGCGUAUGUCCACACAAACACUGCGCAAGAAGGAUCUGGCCCGGUGAUGUGGCUAAUGCUAGUGAUCCCAGCGCUUUGGGAGGCCGAGGUGGGAGGAUCACUUGAGUCCAAGAGUUGGAGACCGGCUGGGUGAGGUUGCUCACGCCUGCAAUCCCAGCACUUUGGGAGGCCGAGGCGGGCGGAUCAUGAGGUCAGGAGAUCGAAGCCAUCCUGACUAAUAUGGUGAAACCCCAUCUCUACUAAAAGGACAAAAAAUUAGCCGGGCGUGGUGGCGGGCGCCUGUAGUCCCAGCUACUCGGGAGGCUGAGGCAGGAGAAUCGCUUGAACCUGGGAGGUGGAGGUUGCAGUGAGCCGAGAUCGUGCCACUGCAUUCCAGCCUGGGCAACAGAGCAAGACUCCGUCUCAAAAACAAUAAAAUAAAAAAAGUUGGUUGCUACAAAAAAAAUAAAAAUAAAAAUUAGCCAGGCCUGCUGGGGCACACCUGUAGUCCCAGCUACUUGGGAGGGUUACACAGGAGGAUCAAAGAAACAAAAACUGUCGGUUUCACUUCAAAACAUGCUCCGCGUCAGUCCUCAGGGAAAUGCAAAUCAGAGCCAUGGUGAGAUACCACUUCACGCCCAGUAAGAUGGCUAGAAUUAAAAA
rnacentral:lncRNA from 1 species